AGCUAUGGAUCACAAUGUGUACGGUCUACGGUGUGAUAUAUGUCUACGCCUAUGGAUCUAUGCGAGAGUUACCGCCUGCAAGGGUCAUGGUCUUCAGAUCUGUGUAGCGACGUGAAUACAAAGCUCUAAUCGUCCUUCAUGGGACAAACUUUAUUCUGACAUCUGACCUCAAAUCAGGUAGGACUACCCGCUGAACUUAA
rnacentral:misc_RNA from 1 species